GUGGGGAAUCUUAGACAAUGGGGGAAACCCUGAUCUAGCCAUGCCGCGUGAGCGAUGAAGGCCUUAGGGUUGUAAAGCUCUUUCAGCUGGGAAGAUAAUGACGGUACCAGCAGAAGAAGCCCCGGCUAACUCCGUGCCAGCAGCCGCGGUAAUACGGAGGGGGCUAGCGUUGUUCGGAAUUACUGGGCGUAAAGCGCACGUAGGCGGAUCAGAAAGUCAGAGGUGAAAUCCCAGGGCUCAACCUUGGAACUGCCUUUGAAACUCCUGGUCUUGAGGUCGAGAGAGGUGAGUGGAAUUCCGAGUGUAGAGGUGAAAUUCGUAGAUAUUCGGAGGAACACCAGUGGCGAAGGCGGCUCACUGGCUCGAUACUGACGCUGAGGUGCGAAAGCGUGGGUAGCAAACAGGAUUAGAAACCCUGGUAGUCC
rnacentral:rRNA from 1 species